GACGAACGCUGGCGGCGUGCUUAACACAUGCAAGUCGAACGGAAAGGCCCUGCUUUUGUGGGGUGCUCGAGUGGCGAACGGGUGAGUAACACGUGAGUAACCUGCCCUUGACUUUGGGAUAACUUCAGGAAACUGGGGCUAAUACCGGAUAGGAGCUCCUGCUGCAUGGUGGGGGUUGGAAAGUUUCGGCGGUUGGGGAUGGACUCGCGGCUUAUCAGCUUGUUGGUGGGGUAGUGGAUUACCAAGGCUUUGACGGGUAGCCGGCCUGAGAGGGUGACCGGCCACAUUGGGACUGAGAUACGGCCCAGACUCCACCGGGAGGCAGCAGUGGGGAAUAUUGCACAAUGGGCGGAAGCCUGAUGCAGCAACGCCGCGUGCGGGAUGACGGCCUUCGGGUUGUAAACCGCUUUCGCCUGUGACGAAGCGUGAGUGACGGUAAUGGGUAAAGAAGCACCGGCUAACUACGUG
rnacentral:rRNA from 1 species